rnacentral:rRNA from 1 species
AUGCGCACAGUGCUUACCCAUGUUCUACAUGUGCUGUCGAAAGGGCUCAGGGUUGCCGUUCGAUCUGGGAGCAUCCAACGGAGCACACGUACGAUCCGUGGGGUUUGGGUUCUGGCCAGUCAGAACACAGGACUCAGAUCGCGCGCGCAGCGAGGGGGAUAUCAUACGGAAACCAACAUUCGGUGGAAACCGGUGAAAACCACGAGAAAAAGAUGUUCUGAAGUUUCAAAAAAAUUUCAAAAAAUGCAGGAUGUUAAGAGGAUGAUGUUUUAUUGGCACACAAAAUUUCAAGUUAAAACACAUUAA